rnacentral:lncRNA from 1 species
UAUGCCACUACUCCAGAAUGAGAAAGAAAUACAGGAUUCGGAUGACAUCAUCGAACUGGAACUGAGAAUGACAUCAUCUUCUUCCCUUCUACAGUGUGACUAAUGACUGUAAUGCUGUCAUAGGAGUCCCAUUUAGAUGUGCUAGAAAAGAGUAGUCUUCUAGUUCACUGAGAGAUGUUCACAUAUUUGCAUAUUCAUAUAGCAGACAAUAUUUUACUGAUUGCAAGUGCUGUAUCUGAUAACUACUUGAUAGUUUGAAUAAGGAUGAUGCACACACACACACACACACACACACACACAAACAUGUGUGUGUGUGUGUAAAUCCUUGGUUAACCCAGUUGGUGGAACUAUUUAGGAAAGAAUUAGGACUUAAGGCCAUGAUGGAUGAGGUGUGCUCUUGGGAGUGUUUUCUUUGAGGCCUCAGAAGCCCAUGGCAUUCCAGUUUCAGGAACAUCCUAAAAUAAGAGUUGCUGAUAGGUACACUUGAGAUGGCCAGCACAGUUAACCAACUUGAUAACUGCUGCUUGCUGCUUGCAGAGGCCUUAAGUGAUGCACAAGACAACUACUAUGCCACUCCUCAGCCACUAAACUUGAAGUCACCUUCUUUGAUGUUUUUCCCAGUAAUGAUUUGCUGCCUGAGGUUCAUCAUUUUGACAUCUCCAAAUGUCCUCUUAUCUGUAGCCUCAGUGAGCUUAAAAGUGUCAAUCCACCUGCUAAUUGAUCUGUUACCAAAGCCUGCUGCUGCUGACCAAUGGCUUUCAGAAGCGUAAUCAGAGAACAUCUUCCACUUCUGUGCAUGAAAUGACUCCAGAUUUUCAAAGAAACUAUGCUAUACUCUUCUUAAAUCUCCACAUUAACAGGUAACAUGAACUGUAAUGCCUAAUAAUGAUUGUCUGAAAGCCAUUAUCUCAAGUCCCUGGAAUCUGGGUGUC